GCUGGCGGUAGGCUUAACACAUGCAAGUCGUGCGAGAAAGUAUCUUCGGAUAUGAGUAGAGCGGCGGACGGGUGAGUAACGCGUAGGAAUCUACCUAGUAGAAGGGGAUAGCCCGAGGAAACUCGGAUUAAUACCGUAUACCUCCUUUGGGAGAAAGAGGGCCUCUCUUGAUGCUCUCGCUAUUAGAUGAGCCUGCGUAAGAUUAGCUUGUUGGUGAGGUAAUGGCUCACCAAGGCUACGAUCUUUAGCUGGUCUGAGAGGACGAUCAGCCACAUUGGGACUGAGACACGGCCCAGACUCCUACGGGAGGCAGCAGUGGGGAAUAUUGGACAAUGGGCGCAAGCCUGAUCCAGCCAUACCGCGUGUGUGAAGAAGGCCUUCGGGUUGUAAAGCACUUUAAGCAGGGAGAAAAAGUUAUAAGUUAAUACCUUAUAACCUUGAUGUUACCUGAAGAAUAAGCACCGGCUAAUUCCGUGCCAGCAGCCGCGGUAAUACGGAAGGUGCAAGCGUUAAUCGGAAUUACUGGGCGUAAAGCGCGCGUAGGUGGUUUGUUAAGUUGGAUGUGAAAGCCCUGGGCUCAACCUAGGAACUGCAUCCAAAACUAACACACUAGAGUACGAUAGAGGGAGGUAGAAUUCAUAGUGUAGCGGUGGAAUGCGUAGAUAUUAUGAAGAAUACCAGUGGCGAAGGCGGCCUCCUGGAUCUGUACUGACACUGAGGUGCGAAAGCGUGGGUAGCGAACAGGAUUAGAUACCCUGGUAGUCCACGCCGUAAACGAUGACAACUAGCUGUUGGGAGACAAUGUCUUUCAGUGGCGCAGCUAACGUUUUAAGUUGUCCGCCUGGGGAGUACG
rnacentral:rRNA from 1 species